AACCACACUAUCAAUGAAUGGAUUUCACCCGCGAGAUGACGUGGUUGUUUCAUAUAGGACGAGGACGUGUCAUCCUAAUUAUCAGCCAUCGCACGAAAUUAAUAGGAUAUGCCACGUCAUUAUCCUAGAUGGAACAGCCACAUCAUCACACGGGUGAAUUCAUUCAUCGAUAGUGUGGUU
rfam:Oryza glumipatula chromosome 11, whole genome shotgun sequence.